rnacentral:rRNA from 1 species
CGCAAUUGCGCUGUCUGGGGAUAAGCCUGCGGUCCAUUAGCUAGUUGGUAGGGUAAGAGCUUACCAAGGCAACGAUGGAUAGCCGGCCUGAGAGGGUGGACGGCCACACUGGGACUGAGACACGGCCCAGACUCCUACGGGAGGCAGCAGCUAAGAAUCUUCCGCAAUGGGCGAAAGCCUGACGGAGCGACGCCGCGUGGACGAUGAAGGCCGAAAGGUUGUAAAGUCCUUUUUCUUGAUGAAGAAUAAAGAUGAGAGUGGAAUGCUCAUAUGAUGACGUUAGUCAAGGAAUAAGCCCCGGCCAAUUACGUGCCAGCAGCCGCGGUAAUACGUAUGGGGCGAGCGUUGUUCGGAAUUAUUGGGCGUAAAGGGCGUGUAGGCGGUUUUGUAAGCUUGGUGUUAAAGGCUCUGGCUUAACCAGAGUUUUGCGCUGGGAACUGCAAGGCUAGAGUUCAGGUGGGGAAGCUGGAAUUCCUGGUGUAGGGGUGAAAUCUGUAGAUAUCAGGAAGAACACCGAUGGCGAAGGCAAGCUUCUGGCCAUGGACUGACGCUGAGGCGCGAAAGCGUGGGUAGCGAACAGGAUUAGAUACCCUGGUAGUCCACGCUGUAAACGAUGUGCACUAGGUGUAGGAGAUAUUAAUUUUCUGUGCCGAAGCUAACGCAUUAAGUGCACCGCCUGGGGAGUAUGCUCGCAAGGGUGAAACUCAAAGGAAUUGACGGGGGCCCGCACAAGCGGUGGAGCAUGUGGUUUAAUUCGAUACGCGAGGAACCUUACCAGGGCUUGACAUGUACUUGAAGAUCCAAGAGAUUGGGUCGCUUCGUAAGGAGCAGGUACACAGGUGCUGCAUGGCUGUCGUCAGCUCGUGUCGUGAGAUGUUGGGUUAAGUCCCGCAACGAGCGCAACCCUUACUGUCUGUUACCAUCAGGCCUUCGGGUGCUGGGGACUCAGGCAGAACUGCCGGUGACAAACCGGAGGAAGGUGAGGAUGACGUCAAGUCAUCAUGGCCCUUAUGUCCUGGGCUACACACGUGCUACAAUGGCUGGUACAGAGCGUUGCGAGACGGCGACGUUUUAGCUAAUCGCGGAAAGCCAGUCAAAGUUCGGAUUGGAGUCUGAAACUCGACUUCAUGAAGUUGGAAUCGCUAGUAAUCGCGCAUCAGAACGGCGCGGUGAAUUCGUUCCCGGGCCUUGUACACACCGCCCGUCACACCACCCGAGUUGGGGGUACCCGAAGUCGCUAGUCUAACUUUCGAGAGGACGGUACCGAAGGUAUGUCUGGUAAGGGGGGUGAAGUCGUAACAAGGUA